rnacentral:rRNA from 1 species
GGUCUUGACAUCCCGGAGACCCUUAGGAAACUAGGGGUGCUUCCAUCUGGAAGAAUCUGGAGACAGGUGCUGCAUGGCUGUCGUCAGCUCGUGUCGUGAGAUGUUGGGUUAAGUCCCGCAACGAGCGCAACCCUUGCCUUUAGUUGCCAGCAGUUCGGCUGGGCACUCUAAAGGGACUGCCGGUGUUAAACCGGAGGAAGGUGGGGAUGACGUCAAGUCCUCAUGGCCUUUAUGACCAGGGCUACACACGUACUACAAUGGCCGAUACAAAGGGCAGCGACACUGCGAGGUGAAGCCAAUCCCGUAAAAUCGGUCUCAGUCCGGAUUGGAGUCUGCAACUCGACUCCAUGAAGUUGGAAUCGCUAGUAAUCGUGGAUCAGCAUGCCACGGUGAAUACGUUCCCGGGCCUU